AUGCACAAAGAUAGAUUUGAAACUACUCAAGAUCGGUUGCGGAAGAGGCUUCUUGUGGAUUGGAGUGAGCAAUAUAUGUCCUCAGGCAAUAAAGAGAUUCUCAUCAAGGCCGUUGCCCAGACCAUUCCUACUUAUGUGAUGAGCGUGUUCAAGCUUCCUGCAUCGGUUUGCGAUGAACUUACACAUAUGAUUCGCCAAUACUGGUGGGGCGUUGAGAAGGGAAAAAGGAAGAUGGCAUGGAUGAGCUGGGAUAAGUUGAGGCUCCCUAAAUCCAUGGGGGGUAUGGGCUUCCGCGACAUGAGAUCGUACAAUCAAGCUCUGUUAGCCAAACAAGCAUGGAGGCUUCUGGAUUCCCCCGAGAGUUUGUGCUCAAGAUUAUUAAAGGCUAAGUAUUACCCACAUGGCCAGUUAUUGGACACUGUCUUCCCAAACAGUGGUUCAGAGGUGUGGAAGGGAAUGUUAUAUGGUCUUGAGCUGGUU
rnacentral:rRNA from 1 species